CCUACGGGAUGCAGCAGUGGGGGAUAUUGCACAAUGGGGGAAACCCUGAUGCAGCGACGCCGCGUGAGUGAAGAAGUAUUUCGGUAUGUAAAGCUCUAUCAGCAGGGCAGAAAAUGACAGUACCUGACCAAGAAGCCCCGGCUAACUACGUGCAAGCAGCCGCGGUAAUACGUAGGGGGCAAGCGUUAUCCGGAUUUACUGGGUGUAAAGGGAGCGUAGACGGUUAUGUAAGUCUGGAGUGAAAGCCCGGGGCACAACCCCGGGACUGCUUUGGAAACUGUGUAAAUGGAGUACAGGAGGGGCAGGCGGAAGUCCUGGUGUAGCGGUGAAAUGCGUAGAUAUCAGGAGGAACACCGGCGGCGAAGGCGGCUAUCUGGCACAUAACUGACGCUGAGGAGCGAAAGCGUGGGUAGCAAACAGGAUUAGAUACCCGUGUAGUC
rnacentral:rRNA from 1 species